UACGUAGGGUGCGAGCGUUUGUUCGGAAUUACUGGGCGUAAAGCGCGCGUAGGCGGCUUUGUAAGUUAGAGGUGAAAAGCCCCGGGGGCUCAACCCCGGAAUAGCCUUUGAGACUGGAUUGCUAGAAUCUUGGAGAGGCGAGUGGAAUUCCGAGUGUAGAGGUGAAAUUCGUAGAUAUUCGGAAGAACACCAGUGGCGAAGGCGGCUCACUGGCCCGGUACUGACGCUGAGAAUACGAAAGCGUGGGAGCAAACAGG
rnacentral:rRNA from 1 species